AUGAGAUGAUGAUGAUACUAGAGAAUAGUUUCACUAACUUGACUGAUUCCAUGUGAUGUCACACUUCUCUUGACUGUCUGAUUAA